CCUACGGGAGGCAGCAGUGAGGAAUAUUGGUCAAUGGACGAGAGUCUGAACCAGCCAAGUAGCGUGAAGGAUGACUGCCCUAUGGGUUGUAAACUUCUUUUAUAUGGGAAUAAAACGUUCCACGUGUGGGAUUUUGUAUGUACCAUAUGAAUAAGGAUCGGCUAACUCCGUGCCAGCAGCCGCGGUAAUACGGAGGAUCCGAGCGUUAUCCGGAUUUAUUGGGUUUAAAGGGAGCGUAGGUGGAUUGUUAAGUCAGUUGUGAAAGUUUGCGGGUCAAACGUAAAAUUGCAGUUGAAACUGGCAGUCUUGAGUACAGGAGAGGUGGGCGGAAUUCGUGGUGUAGCGGUGAAAUGCUUAGAUAUCACGAAGAACUCCGAUUGCGAAGGCAGUUCACUGGACUGCAACUGACACUGAGGCUCGAAAGUGUGGGUAUCAAACAGGAUUAGAUACCCCUGUAGUC
rnacentral:rRNA from 1 species